CCUACGGGAGGCAGCAGUGAGGAAUAUUGGUCAAUGGACGAGAGUCUGAACCAGCCAAGUAGCGUGAAGGAUGACUGCCCUAUGGGUUGUAAACUUCUUUUAUAUGGGAAUAAAAUGUUCCACGUGUGGGAUUUUGUAUGUACCAUAUGCAUAAGGAUCGGCUAACUCCGGGCCAGCAGCCGCGGUAAGACGGAGGAUCCGAGCGUUAUCCGGAUUUAUUGGGUUUAAAGGGAGCGUAGGUGGAUUGUUAAGUCAGUUGUGAAAGUUUGCGGCUCAACCGUAAAAUUGCAGUUGAAACUGGCAGUCUUGAGUACAGUAGAGGUGGGCGGAAUUCGUGGUGUAGCGGUGAAAUGCUUAGAUAUCACGAAGAACUCCGAUUGCGAAGGCAGUUCACUGGACUGCAACUGACACUGAGGCUCGAAAGUGUGGGUAUCAAACAGGAUUAGAUACCCCUGUAGUC
rnacentral:rRNA from 1 species